rnacentral:lncRNA from 1 species
GAUGGUGGUGAUGGUGAUGGUGGUGAUGGUGAUGAUGGUGAUGAUGAUGGUGAUGGUGGUGAUGGUGAUGAUGGUGAUGAUGAUGGUGGUGAUGGUGAGGAUGGUGAUGAUGGUGAUGGUGGUGAUGGUAGUGAUGGUGGUGAUGGUGAUGAUGGUGGUGAUGGUGAUGAUGGUGGUGGUGGUGAUGGUGAUGGUGGUGGUGGUGAUGGUGGUGGUGGUGAUGGUGGUGGUGGUGGUGUGAAGUGCACUUUGCAGUGUUACUCUGUCAGUUCAUAAGUACAUGUGGUGUCCAUUCUGAGACCCAGGGAGUGGUGAAUUCUGCACUUGUCACUUGCUGGCAUCCUAGGGUACCACCGGCUAGGUGACUAACAGGAAGGCUGUGGCACAUUCAGGGUGUUGGCAGUGCACACUCCCUCAGCAUCUCGUCUGGUCCCCAUGGGCCUAGCAACCCUGCUGGACUUGUUCAUUGAGCCAGAGCAGCUGAGUGAGUUGUCCAGGCUGCUCCAGUCUGGUGCUGUCUCCUGGGAAACUGGCUCUUUCCAGAGCAGAGUCAUUCUAUCAGCCCGGGAAGUCCCUGAAUUAAAGAUGUGGAAAUUUGGGAACUGUGGAGGUGGAAAUGAGCAAACCAAAGCAGAAAGAGGCAAACAAGGAAAACCUUGGCGGAAUGGGAGCUAAGCUAUCCUGUGUCGAGAGAGAGAGAGAGCGCGGGAGAGGGAGAGAGAGAGAGAGGGAGAGAGAGACAGAGAUUUGGGGAUGGACUGAGACACUGAGACAUGGACGUGGCACGAUGACAAUGGAGAUGGCGGCCCCUUUGUGCCCCCUAAGAGGAUCUGAAUGUGGAUAAGCGUGUUGGCCAUGGGGCCGGAAGUGUUGCCUUUAACCUGCUGUCUUUCUCCUUAUUAAUUAUAUAAUUUUGGACAAAUAGCAUCCACCCCUCUGUGCCGAGUUUUCUGGUGUGCACAGGAUGAGAACAACCGUGUCUGUGCGUUGAUUGUCCUAUGGUACCUUUGUGCAGGGGGAUUGUGGGUACUUCAUCCCCGCCCCAAGGCAGAUAACUUUGUGAAGAGAAAAGGUUUCCUUAGUUUACAGUUUGAGAAGUUCAAAACCCAGGUGUCAGCACCGUGGGUGUGGCAUCUGGAGAGAAUGGCAAGUGAUGGCACGUCACAACCGGAACUCGUGUAGUAGCAAGCAGGCCUUUCUGGAGAGAAAUGGCAUGUGUUAGACCAGGUUUGCUUUCUAAUAACAGCCUUCUUCUGAGGGGUCCCAGGAUAAUAACCACAGUCACAUGAGAACUCCACACACGGCCCUCCCCACCAACGACCUAAGAAGCUCCUAAAAUGUCUCACCUCUAGGAGACCCCACUGCCCCCAAACAAGGCCAUUCUGGAGAUAGCCCUUGAGGGAUUAGCGUAAGUGGCUGGAGCCUGCAUCUCUUCAGGAGUUUAAGGAGUUAAGAGUUGCAGUCUUGGCUCUGCCUUUUGCUUUUGGAUUCGCUUUGAGUUUUGGAAUACUUAUCUCCUCCAAACCUCAUCUGUUUCACCUGCAAAAUGCAAAAGUAUCAGUCUGUAGGGAGGGUGUGAGGGUCACGUGAUCAGUGUUUAACACCGACUCUUGGGACAGGACUUGAUUUGCAGCAUCUGCUCGCUCAUUCCCACGGUGCAAAUGCUCCCACUGCAGCUGACUUCAGGGUAGCAUUGCAGUGUCUCUGAAGGUGGAGUCAGAAGAAACGGGCAUCGUUAUCUUCCAUCCCCACAGCACGGAAUCAAGACAUUACCUGAGCCUAGAUAACAGUUAAGGGCAGUGAAGUAAUUAGGAACUGAAGGGCUCUUAUUGCAUUUGUUUUUUAAUGUAAUUUGUUUAAUUGUGAGCUUACAUAAUAUAGUUUUUAAUAACUGCUGUUCAUAACCGGCUUGCAAAGUUCUUGAAAAUUUAAUAAUCAGCUCUGGCAAGCUGGUCCAAGCUGGCUUCACAUACUGUUGAAUGUGCUAAAGCUCCAGCGAGGCCUAGAGAGGACACGGCAAGUACGCAGUGCUCCAUCAUCGGGAGCCUAUGCAGUUGUUGUUAUGUGUUUUAUUAUGCAAUCUCUGAUGACAGUAGGGGGAAAAAACAGGCCGUGGAAAAAAAAUCUGUAGUAGUUGCCUUUUCCACUCCUGCAUCAAAAGACUCAACAGAGCAAGUUUGGGCAGAGAGAUUUCUUUGGGCUGACAGUUUCAGAUGUUAGUGUUAGUGCCUGAUGGAGGUGUUGUUAGUACUCAAUGGUGUGUGGUCCUGAUGGAGAUGUUAGUACUCAGUGGUGUUGUGAUCCUGAUGGAGGUGUUAGUACUCAGUGGUGUUGUGAUCCUGAUGGAGGUGUUAGUACUCAGUGGUGUGUGGUCCUGAUGGAGGUGUUAGUACUCAGUGGUGUUGUGGUCCUGAUGGAGAUGUUAGUACUCAGUGGUGUUGUGAUCCUCAUGGAGGUAUUAGUACUCAAUGGUGUGUGGUCCUGAUGGAGGUGUUAGUACUCAAUGGUGUGUGGUCCUGAUGGAGGUGUUAGUACUCAGUGGUGUUGUGGUCCUGAUGGAGGUGUUGUUAGUACUCAGUGGUGUGUGGUCCUGAUGGAGGUGUUAGUACUCAGUGGUGUGUGGUCCUGAUGGAGGUGUUAGUACUCAGUGGUGUGUGGUCCUGAUGGAGGUGUUAGUACUCAGUGGUGUGUGGUCCUGAUGGAGAUGUUAGUACUCAGUGGUGUGUGGUCCUGAUGGAGAUGUUAGUACUCAGUGGUGUUGUGGUCCUGAUGGAGGUGUUAGUACUCAGUGGUGUUGUGGUCCUGAUGGAGGUGUUAGUACUCAGUGGUGUGUGGUCCUGAUGGAGGUGUUAGUACUCAGUGGUGUGUGGUCCUGAUGGAGGUGUUAGUACUCA